rnacentral:rRNA from 1 species
CAGCAGCCGCGGUAAUACGAAGGGUGCAAGCGUUAAUCGGAAUUACUGGGCGUAAAGGGCCCGCAGGCGGUUUCUUAAGUCUGAUGUGAAAGCCCCCGGCUCAACCGGGGAGGGUCAUUGGAAACUGGGAAACUUGAGUGCAGAAGAGGAGAGUGGAAUUCCACGUGUAGCGGUGAAAUGCGUAGAGAUGUGGAGGAACACCAGUAGCGAAGGCGACUCUCUGGUCUGUAACUGACGCUGAGGAGCGAAAGCGUGGGGAGCGAACAGGAUUAGAUACCCGCGUAGUCCCUGUCUCUUAUAC